UCCAAGUGAAGCAGAGGACAGUGGCGGACGGGUGAGUAACGCGUGAGGAACCUGCCUUUCAGAGGGGGACAACAGUUGGAAACGACUGCUAAUACCGCAUGACACAUAGAUGUCGCAUGGCAUUUAUGUCAAAGAUUUAUCGCUGAAAGAUGGCCUCGCGUCUGAUUAGCUAGUUGGUGAGGUAACGGCCCACCAAGGCGACGAUCAGUAGCCGGACUGAGAGGUUAACCCCCACAUUGGGACUGAGACACGGCCCAAACUCC
rnacentral:rRNA from 1 species